GACGAACGCUGGCGGCGUGCCUAAUACAUGCAAGUAGAACGCUGAAGGCGGAGCUUGCUCUUCUGGAUGAGUUGCGAACGGGUGAGUAACGCGUAGGUAACCUGCCUGGUAGCGGGGGAUAACUAUUGGAAACGAUAGCUAAUACCGCAUAAUAGUAGAUGUUGCAUGAUAUUUACUUAAAAGGUGCAAUUGCACCACUACCAGAUGGACCUGCGUUGUAUUAGCUAGUUGGUGGGGUAACGGCUCACCAAGGCGACGAUACAUAGCCGACCGGCGAGGGUGAUCGGCCACGCUGGGACUGGAGCACGGCCCAGACCACUGCGAGAGGCAGAAGUAGGGAAUCCUCGGGGAUGGAAGAAAGUCUGACCGAGGAACGACGCGUGAGUGAAGAAUGUUGUCGGAUCGUAAAGCUCUGUUGUAAGAGAAGAUCGAGUGUGAGAGUUGAAAGUUCACACUGUGACGGUAUCUUAACAGAAAGGGACGGCUAACUACGUG
rnacentral:rRNA from 1 species